ensembl:misc_RNA
AGGGAAGGGGGCCAGGGCCAUGAGGGUUAUCUCACAGUCCCAGAUGCUGGAUAAGUUGGAGGAGGCGGAAUCACUUUUGGAUGACAUUCAGAAAGGCCUGAAUGCUUAUUGGGAGAAGAAAAGACUAUUCUUUCCAAGGUAAACAGUUCAUUUCAUGUACC